AGAGGACCUGACAUUAGUACGAGAGGACCGUGUUGGACAAACCUCUAGUGUACCUGUUGUGGCGCCAGCUGCAUCGCAGGGUAGCUAUGUUUGGAAAAGAUAAGCACUGAAAGCAUCUAAGUGCGAAGCUUCCCUCAAGAUGAGGUCUCCUUUAAGGGUCGUUCAAGACUAGGACGUUGAUAGGCUGUAGGUGUAAAGGCGGUAACGUCAAAGCCAAGCAGUACUAAUUACCCGUAGCUUUCUAUAU
rnacentral:rRNA from 1 species